rnacentral:rRNA from 1 species
AGAGUUUGAUCCUGGCUCAGGACGAACGCUGGCGGCGUGCUUAACACAUGCAAGUCGAACGGACUUUAUCUUUCGGGAUAAAGUUAGUGGCGCACGGGUGAGUAACGCGUGGGGACGUGCCCAUGGGUGGGGAAUAACUAAGGGAAACUUUAGCUAAUACCGCAUAAGCCCUGAGGGGGAAAGAUUUAUCGCCGAUGGAGCGACCCGCGUCAGAUUAGGUAGUUGGUAGGGUAAAGGCCUACCAAGCCGACGAUCUGUAGCUGUUCUUAGAGGAAGAUCAGCCACACUGGAACUGAGACACGGUCCAGACUCCUACGGGAGGCAGCAGUGGGGAAUAUUGGACAAUGGGGGAAACCCUGAUCCAGCAAUGCCGCGUGAGUGAAGAAGGCCUUCGGGUUGUAAAGCUCUUUUAGAUGAGACGAUGAUGACGGUAUCAUCAGAAAAAGCACCGGCUAACUCUGUGCCAGCAGCCGCGGUAAUACAGAGGGUGCUAGCGUUGUUCGGAAUUACUGGGCGUAAAGAGCGCGUAGGCGGCCUGUUGAGUUAAGUGUGAAAGCCCAAGGCUUAACCUUGGAACUGCAUUUAACACUGGCAGGCUAGAGGUCGCAAGAGGACAGUGGAAUUCCUAGUGUAGAGGUGAAAUUCGUAGAUAUUAGGAAGAACAUCAAUGGCGAAGGCAGCUGUCUGGGGCGAUACUGACGCUAAGGCGCGAAAGCGUGGGGAGCAAACAGGAUUAGAUACCCUGGUAGUCCACGCUGUAAACGAUGAGUGCUAGAUGUUGGGAAGUAAAAUUUUCGGUGUCGCAGUUAACGCAAUAAGCACUCCGCCUGGGGAGUACGGUCGCAAGAUUAAAACUCAAAGGAAUUGACGGGGACUUAGCUUAGUUGGUAGAGCGCCAGCUAUCGUGACUGGGAAACAUCCAAGGUAUCGUGACUGGGAAAC